rnacentral:misc_RNA from 1 species
UGUUUUGGCCAGAUUCUCUACCUGCCAUCCAUGUUAAGAGCAAAUUUAAAAGAAAAAUACAUUUAACCAGUAAUGACAAAGCUUGCAACUGUCAAAGAACAAAGAAGACAAGAAUUCAUGAGUUAUUGUUAAAUCAUCUACACAUGCACAAGAAAUAUCUGAACCAAACCAGAAAUGUGAUUAGAAUUGCAUGUGAACAGAACCAGUUCAGUGGCAAAUACAAGACAGAAAAGACAGUAGGGAGAAAAAACAGCAGUAUACAGAGGCAAUUAUAAUGCCAAAGGGCGACUUGGAAUCUUUAAAUUAAAGCUAUGAACAGGUAAUCGUAUCCUGCAUAGACAAUAAUCACUAUUAGCCAAAGCCAUUGGUUUAGAGAUCAAAAGCAAUAUGCCCAUUUCCAUUACUUUUCACUUGUGCAUCCACAUCUUACUCUUGGUAACGAUAUACAUAUCCACAGAGAUUGCUAUUUUUAUACUCAAGUUUACUAAGAAAGUAUUUGCCCAUAUUAAUUUUCUCCCUUUGUUUGUUUUUCUCAUUAGAUGUUAAAUAAGAGUAAGAAAAAGAUUAUGGAAAUAAAACAAAAAUGGGAAAUGAAUAUGGAAAGCCAAAAAAA